CUAGAAGGUGCUGGGGGAACAGGAAGAGGAGGGGGUCUUCAUCACAGUGAGGAUCAGAGAACCUUUUCAGGAUUGCUUUCUGAGCUGAAGGCAGGGAAGCUGCUGUCACUGCUGGAGUUAAGAGAACCAAACAGCCUCUUCUACUGAGCCAGGGAGGACUCCAUCUAUCCAUCACCAUUGAUCCCCAGGCCCAUGCAUUCCUGAACCUCAACCACUCUCCCCUCGGCUCCAGUCUGCUCUGCUGCUCCCUCCAACAGCUCCUGGACAUUUUGGAAUUGCUCCGAGCUCAGGAGAUGCCCUGGGAGCUGCUGGGGGUGAGGGGGAAUGGUAAGGGUUUUGCACAUUCCUGCAAAUACUUGUAAAUAAUUGUACAUAUUUUUUUUAGUAUUAGUACAAUUUAUAUUAGUAUUAUUAGUAUUUUAUUAGUAGUAUUUAAUUAAAGCUGUGUAGUUUAGUUUUCAA